AUUGAACGCUGGCGGCAGGCCUAACACAUGCAAGUCGAACGAGUGGCGGACGGGUGAGUAAUGUCUGGGAAACUGCCUGAUGGAGGGGGAUAACGACCGGAAACGGGAGCUAAUACCGCAUACUAUCGGAUGUGCCCAGGUGGGAUUAGCUAGUUGGUGGGGUAAAGGCCUACCAAGGCGACGAUCCGUAGCUGGUCUGAGAGGAUGACCAGUCACACUGGAACUGAGACACGGUCCAGACUCCUACGGGAGGCAGCAGUGGGGAAUAUUGGACAAUGGGCGAAAGCCUGAUACAGCCAUGCCGCGUGUGUGAAGAAGGGCUUCGGAUUGUAAAGCACUUUAAGUGGGGAGGCGUUACCAGCAGAAUAAGCACCGGCUAACUCCGUGCCAGCAGCCGCGGUAAUUC
rnacentral:rRNA from 1 species